rnacentral:tmRNA from 1 species
GGGGGCGAAAUGGUUUCGACGGGUCACUAUUAACGCCCUCCUGGGCCGUGCAGGUCUUACCAGGGUGGGUGACUCGGACACUGGUUCAAUUCCAGUCGCCUCCAUUU